rnacentral:rRNA from 1 species
AAUGGCAUCACGAGGAUUUAACUGUCUCUAUUUUCCAAUCAAUAAAAUUGUUCUCUUCGUGCAGAAACGAAGAUACCCCUAUAAGACGAGAAGACCCUGUGGAGCUUCAAGUAAACUAAGAGUGUUUCAAAACACACCGACUUACCCUUACUUUCGGUUGGGGCGACCGUGAAGAACAAAAUAACCUUCAUAAGGAAUAGAAUAACCUUAAACACGAACAACAGUUCUAGUUAUCAGAAUAUCUGACCUCUAAGACCCAGCAUGCCUGAUUAAUGAACCAAGUUACCCCAGGGAUAACAGCGCAAUUUUCUUCAAGAGUCCUUAUCGACAAGAAAGUUUACGACC